UGACUUAGUGGCGGACGGGUGAGUAACGCGUGGGUAACCUGCCUCACACAGGGGGAUAACAGUUGGAAACGACCGCUAAUACCGCAUAACCCGCUAGGGCCGCAUGGCCCGGACGGAAAAGAUUUAUCGGUGUGAGAUGGACCCGCGUUGGAUUAGCUAGUUGGCAGGGUAACGGCCUACCAAGGCGACGAUCCAUAGCCGGCCUGAGAGGGUGAACGGCCACAUUGGGACUGAGACACGGCCCAA
rnacentral:rRNA from 1 species